AUGCUGUCCACCCAGUAUACUAAAGUGACCUGUACAACUGAGGGGCUGAGAGAGUCUGGGAUCACAGCAGCCAGUGUUGAGAACUCAUUAAAGAGGCAUGGAUCCUAUACUGCUUUAUGGACUUCAUCAAGAUAUCUGUCCACAAGCCAAUGGGGACACCUUACGAAAAGAGCCAAGAGAUUCCUUGAGAAGAGAGAACCAAAACUCAGUAAAAAUAUUAAAAAUGCUAUGCUGAUUAAGGGGGGAAUGCAAAUUCCAUGGUGACACAAGUACUUAAAGAUGUGUAUGCACUGAAAAAACCGUAUGGAGUUCUGUAUAAAAAGAAUUCUUUUCAAAGAAGUCAGAUUGUUCUUUAUUUAUGUUUGGCUCCCAUAAUAAGAAGCAGCCAAAUAAUCUAGUAAUAGGUUGUAUGUAUGACUACCAUGUGCUGGAUAUGAUUGAGUUGGGUAUCGAGAAGUUUGCCUCUCUAAAAGAUAUUAAGAAUAGCAAAUGUCCUGAGGGAACAAAACCCAUGUUAAUAUUUGCUGGUGAUGAUUUUGAUGUAACAGAAGACUACAAAAGGCUAAAAAGUCUUCUUAUUGAUUUCUUCAGAGGCCCCACAGUACCAAAUAUCUGCCUGGCUGGUUUAGAGUAUGUUCUGCACUUCACUGCAUUGAAUGGGAAGAUUUACGUUCGAAGCUAUAAGUUGCUGUUGAAGAAAUCUGGUUGUAGAACACCAAGGAUUGAAUUGGAAGAGAUAGGGCCCUCAUUGGAUCUGGUUCUGAGGAGGACACAUCUGGCAUCAGAUGAUCUUUAUAAAUUAUCUAUGAAAAUGCCAAAAGUGCUCAAGCUAAAGAAGAAGAAAAAUGUCUCCCAUGAUACUUUUGGUACAACUUAUGGAAGGAUUCAUAUACAGAAGCAAGACCUAAGCAAACUACAAACCAGGAAAAUGAAGGGGUUGAAGAAGCGACCUGCAGAAAGGAUAACAGAAGACCAAAAGAAAAAAUCAAAGAGAAUUAAAAAAAACUGAUGGAACUUAGCCAGUGACUAUAAUGUUAUUGUAGUCUGUUUACUUAAGAGAAUUAUCAAUCAUCAGUCAUUUCUAAGUUUCUUAAAGAUUUUAUUAAAUAUUUUUGUA